rnacentral:rRNA from 1 species
GACGAACGCUGGCGGCGUGCUUAACACAUGCAAGUCGAACGCGCCUGUCCUCUGGGUUUCUGGGGGGUGGGUGAGUGGCGAACGGGUGAGUAACACGUGAGUAACCUGCCCCCUUCUUCGGGAUAACGGUCUGAAAGGGCUGCUAAUACCGGGUAUUCACUGGUCUCCGCAUGGGGUCUGGUGGAAAGGUUUUUUUCUGGUGGGGGAUGGGCUCGCGGCCUAUCAGCUUGUUGGUGGGGUGAUGGCCCACCAAGGCUUUGACGGGUAGCCGGCCUGAGAGGGGGACCGGUCACAUUGGGACUGAGAUACGGCCCAGACUCCUACGGGAGGCAGCAGUGGGGAAUAUUGCACAAUGGGCGCAAGCCUGAUGCAGCGACGCCGCGUGAGGGAUGGAGGCCUUCGGGUUGUGAACCUCUUUCGCCCGUGGUCAAGCCGCGACGUGGGUCGUGGUGAGGGUAGUGGGUAAAGAAGCGCCGGCUAACUACGUG